GCCCCUCGGCUAUUCCUUGGGGCAUGCCUGUUUGAGUAUCAUGAACACCUCAACUCUUGUGGUUCGCCACAAAGGGCUUGGACUCUGGGGGUUUGCUGGCUGGUUUGGUCAGCUCCUCUCAAAUGAAUCAGCUUGCCAGUGUUUGGUGGCGUCGUGGGUGUGAUAAAUAUCUACGCUCGUGGUCGUCUGCCAGGUAACCUUUGUCACCAGAGGUUCGCUGGAGCUUACAAACGUCUCUCCUCGGUGAAGACAGCUUUCGAACGUUCGAUCUCAAAUCAGGUAGGACUACCCGCUGAACUUAA
rnacentral:rRNA from 1 species